UCUUUCAACUUUAUGUGGUGUGGGUUGUUCUCUGAAAAUAACGCGUCCCAUCUAACGCCAUGAAAGAACCCCUCUUCACUAUAAUCAGUAGAGUUCCCAUCUCAGAGUAAACCCAGUCCUUCCAACUUCUAGAAAAGAUUCGACCUUCUAUGUCCUUCAAUCCUGUUCACUCUCUUUGGUAAUGCCUCCCUAUCUAACGCCUCAAUAUAUCCCCUCUUUACUGUAAUCAGUAAAGAUUACAUCUGAGAUUCGAUCCAAUUCUUCCAACUUCUAUAAAAGAUCCAAUCUUCUAUGUCCAUUAAUUCCAGUAUUUCAAUCACAUCUCAGAGUCGGCCGAACUUCCCUUUCAACCAAUUUCACGAUCUCUGAAAUCAGUUACGGUUCUAGGUGUGCCCUAAUAAUUAGAUUUCCCUUGGGAUUGAUUUAUUAUUGAAAUUACACCAAAAGUAACGCACGUCAUGGAUUUAAUUGCCUGCUGCAUCUAUAAAUUGUCUCCGAAAAUCACAGGGAAGCAUCAGUCUCACCGGUUCACCAUCUUCCCAGACAAAGAGAGAAAUAGCAUCACAGGUUACCUGCAAUAUUCAGAAGGUUGGACCCUCAGCCACACAGGACACACUCAAGAGCUUACGAUCGCUUGACGAAGGAAAAACAAACAUCGUUGCCGUCCGUGUUACCCUGAAAUGGGAAGAGUUGGACUUCAUGUCAACCAACGACGUUUCCGGCGUUGAUAUGGUUAUUGUUGACGAGCAGGGGGAAGAGUUACACGCCGUCAUACCCAAAAAUCUUAUUUGGAAGUUUGAUAAGCUGAUUCGGGAGGGGGGGUUGUACUUGAUGCAGAAACUACACUUGACACUGCUAAAACGAAGUUCCGUCCUGCGCACAAUGAGAAGCGGGCCUUCUUCCGGACCACCACCUCCAUCACUUCUUUGGAUGCCUAUUCCGUGUACAUUAUUCCCCAGAAAUUCUCAUUCACUGAGUUUGAGGACAUAGAAUCAAACCUCCAAAACAUACAUCUUACAGAUGUGGUGGGUUUCUUAAAAACAGUCACCAACAUCCAGGUGCUUCAAAGGUCUGAUGGCCAAUCAAGCCGAAUGCGCGAGAUCACAAUUGAAAAUCUCAGGUCGAAUCACCCUAUCUUCAACCAAUGCCACCAAAGUCUACGCGGAUGCAGACAUACCCGAAGUCGUUGAAAUGCGAGAAAGGUUAUCAAAUACCUACUUAAUAUCGUCUUUGUUUUGUACUGAUCCUACUCCGUUAUCACUGAUUAUGUUUGGGCUAAUCAGGGACCCCUAUGCUAGACCACCCCGCCAUAUCACAAUACCGACUAAGAAAGGAAAAUUACCUAUACAUUUCAAUCCUGACAACAGGAAAAAAAUAUCGCAGCUGCUCACUACCACAUGGGAUCCUUCUUGCCAGGACGCUAAAGUCCUCAUAUGUAACGCCACUGCCACCAAUGUGCUGAUUGAAAAUGGUUGGCACUAUCUUGCCUGCCAUCCAUGUAGCAAGAAGGUUAUGGGUGAUGAUGGAGACCUUUGGUUCACUAAAUGUGAAGCCAAAGUUGAAAUGCCCAUUGCAAGGUUCAUGGUCCGCUUUGAGGUAGAGGACCACAGUCUUUGUAGCUCUGGAUAGUGAAGUCCAAAAAAUGGUCCGUUCUACCGCAGCUGAGCUCAUAGGAGCGUCAGAGGAUAAUGCUAAAAUCUGCGGUAAUAUCUGUAUUCUCGCAGAUACUCCAGCGAGCUGUUGAUUUCCAAAUUACUAUCAAUUCCUUCAACAUGAAACAGAAAGCACCAUCUAGCUUCACUGUCACCCGAAUUAACCUCACCCACCAGCCUGGCCAAGGUGUUUUUGCGACUGUGAAAGUUGAAGGGGUUUCAAAUACUGUUGAUGGACCGCACGCAAAGAAACCUCGCCUAAACGAAACAACUGGAAUGGAGGAUAAUAAGGAUGAAGCUGCUGAAUGAAUUGGGCCUUGCUACCGGAGUAUAAUUGAAUAAAACAUUACAUGAACCUUUACUCAGUAUUGUUAUUUGUUUUUUGUUUUCUUUGUUUAAACUCCAUGUUUCGCAUGUUACUUACAAUCUUGAUAAUAGUUAUGCUCUAUUAUCCGGUUCCCCAUUUCAACGCUAGGUCUUUUGUUAAAAAAGUUUCAGAACCUUAACUGUCUGCACUGCAAGACGGUACUUUAUAUGAUUGCUUAUCCUAAUCUCUUGCCCUGCGAUAUAA